GUACUUUGCUAACUUUCAUAAGACAUAUACUAAAAUUGAGACAAUACAGAGAAGAUUAACAUAGCCUCUGCUCAAGGAUGACACCCGAACUAUUGAAGUACUUUAUAUUUUU
rnacentral:snRNA from 2 species